rnacentral:rRNA from 1 species
UGUAGCAUACAAGGCAUACGGCUCAGUAACGCGUAGUCAACCUAACCUAUGGACGGGAAUAACCUCGGGAAACUGAGAAUAAUGCCCGAUAGAACACUAUACCUGGAAUGGUUUGUGUUCCAAAUGAUUUAUCGCCAUAGGAUGGGACUGCGGCCUAUCAGUUUGUUGGUGAGGUAAUGGCCCACCAAGACUAUUACAGGUACGGGCUCUGAGAGGAGUAGCCCGGAGAUGGGUACUGAGACACGGACCCAGGCCCUAUGGGGCGCAGCAGGCGAGAAAACUUUGCAAUGUGCGAAAGCACGACAAGGUUAAUCCGAGUGAUUUGUGCUAAACGAAUCUUUUGUUAGUCCUAGAAACACUAACGAAUAAGGGGUGGGCAAGUUCUGGUGUCAGCCGCCGCGGUAAAACCAGCACCUCAAGUGGUCAGGAUGAUUAUUGGGCCUAAAGCAUCCGUAGCCGGCUCUGUAGGUUUUCGGUUAAAUCUGUACGCUUAACGUACAGGCUGCCGGGAAUACUGCAAAGCUAGGGAGUGGGAGAGGUAGACGGUACUCGGUAGGAAGUGGUAAAAUGCUUUGAUCUAUCGAUGACCACCUGUGGCGAACGCGGUCUACCAGAACACGUCCGACGGUGAGGGAUGAAGCUGGGGGAGCAAACCGGGAUUAGAUACCCGGUAGUCCCAGCUGUAAACUAUGCCAACUCAGUUGAUGCAUUGGGCUUGUGCCAAUGCAGAUGCCUGA